rnacentral:lncRNA from 1 species
CUGUUUAGUAUAUAUUGCCGCACUUGCUAAUUUAUUUGCUGAUUUUAACGAUGGAGGGGAAAUUUAUGAACAUGCAAUAUUUGAAAUGAAAAAGAAAAAAAAAUAUUUUUUUCCAAUCCCUUCUAUUUUUGGUGUGGCUGCUAUGUUAAACCCUACUAUGAAAGCAGGAGGUCCUAACUUUUGGUAUAAUAGUAUUUAUCAAUCUUUUGAUCUUUCACCAGAAGAAAUGGCUACACUAUCUGAUGCGAAAGCAUUAAUUACAAUGAAUGCUCAAACUGUUUAUAAUGCUUAUAAACAGGCCUUAGAGCAUGCUAGGCCUAAUAUUCCAACUCCUACUUCGUCCACGUCACAAUCGUCUANN